AUACGAAGGGGGCAAGCGUUGUUCGGAAUAACUGGGCGUAAAGCGUACGUAGGCGGUUGGUUAAGUUAAAUGUGAAAGCCCCGGGCUUAACCUGGGAACUGCAUUUAAAACUGACGAACUAGAGUUGAGUAGAGGGGAGUGGAAUUUCAGGUGUAGCGGUGAAAUGCGUAGAGAUCUGAAGGAACACCAGUGGCGAAGGCGACUCCCUGGACUCGAACUGACGCUGAGGUACGAAAGCGUGGGUAGCAAACGGGAUUAGAAACCCUAGUAGUCC
rnacentral:rRNA from 1 species